GCUACACCCACUCUGCUGGCCAGGCUCAGUGCACUACUUCCUCUCCAUGCUCUGGACUCGCCCAGACGCCUCUGGCUGUACUCUCCAACCUACCUCCAAUAAAAACCUUCCUUUCAAUUGUCUUGCAGCGGUCUAGUCCUUAUUUUCUGUGAGGAGGCAGAGGGUCUUAUGGCUGGUAAGUCAUAGGCUGCUCAGGAUGGGAACCAGGCUGCCAGCCCACAGGCAGAGCACGUGAACUUCACCUGGUUCCACCCAUUUUCACUGUCCAGACCUGCAAGGCUCGAGGAGACAACACAGUGGGCAGAAUGUCAUGCAAGCCCAUUAGGAAGAUGGCGGGCGCCCAGAGAUUGUGAAGCAAUAAAAAGAACAAAACUUCCAAUUUAAAGUGGUGAAUAGGAAGAAAGCUGAGGGAAAUUCAAAAUAAUUUAUACCAGCUGGCUCUCAACAUCACCAACUGAAAGAGGAUGAAGUUGGGGAAAAGAAUUUGCAGGGCAUCGAGGACAGCAUGCCUUUCCUGCUCCCAGCAGCAACACAUGUGGAUGGCGCUGGAUCCCGUGGCAAGAUUUAGCUUAAUUGACAGCUAAAAAUUGUACUCCCAGUUUAAGACUAUUUGAUCCCUGAACACAUACCCUACCCAGAGACUGGGUGCCUUGCUGCAGGUUAACAGGUCCUAUCUCUAAAGUCUCUGGGUAAAAAGCAUGGAGGCGGGAUGCCUGGGGCUACUCAGAGAAAAAAAGGAAGGGGUCAUUUAGCGAAGUUACUAUCUGGUAGCCAAGUUACCUAGGGAUGAAAGAGACUGGGUCAGCUCAUGACACAUAGCUAUAAGUUCACAUGCCCUGCCCUAGGGUCAGGAAAGCUCCAAUCACACCCAAAGUGCAGCGACUUACUAACUGUGCGGCCAAGAAGGGCUACUUGUUUGCACGUGGACUGAGCGUAUGAAGUCAGUGUGACACCCUUCGGUAAAGCGGGUACCCAAUGACAGCCUCAUCACACAAACGGGGCUACAGUGAAUACUAUUAUCACUACUGUAAAAAUGUCAACACACAAGUAUGGGGACGGAUGGUAUGCCAUCAGUGCAGCGAGAGUGGGUUAGAACUAUCCUAUUCUGGUUAAAACCUGCUCAUCACUGAUUGCCUCCCAGAACUUGGCCUUCUCUGUGGAAGAACAUUCCAUCUGCUCACAGCUAGAAGAAUGGGACCCAUCAGGGACCCUGGCUUAAGACUGAUAGAAUCAAGAUGUUUGGUGAGCUGCUGAGCUGGUUUGCUAAGCUCUGUGGGCCACCACCCCGACCCUAUCAGCAGAUUCCAGAAUGGCUGACAGAAAAUUAAAAUCAGGCUCCCUAAAUUCAAUUCGAAGCACAAAGCAUUCAAGAACGUUUCUGAAAGAGAUUUCUUUGUCUAACUUGACAUGGGCAAGGAGGUGGUAUUAAAAAGAUCGUUAAUCAUUAAAACAACCUAAUACAUCAAUACAACUUAAAUUCUUCAAGUCCACAAGCAGUUAAAGAAGCUGUACAAACAGGAGCAGCGGGCUGCUGGAAAAGAAUGAGGAACAUUUGUUUGUUCCUCCUACAGAGGGUUUCUCUAUGUAGCCUGGACUGAUCUGGAACGUACCCUGUCAAUCAGGACUCUGGCUGGCUGAGUGCUGUUCUUCAAAGAAGAUGGAGGAGAAAACUUUGCAGAUGGGGUGUCAGUGUAUCUCUCUGGCUCAUCAGGUCACUAUGCUUUCGCCUCCACCCCCUGAGGGCUGUGAUUAAAGGUAUGCUCCACAAUGCUCCCCUGCACACUGUCAUUCUUAAGCAGCAAGCAAUGAUUGGAAUUCAAGCCCCAAGCAGCUUCCUCCUUCCUGGAUUUGCUUUGGAACUUCUGAUGUCAGAAUCAACAGACUGUACAGUGCCAUAAAGGAGGAAGUGGGAGGGUCCCCUGGAUCCAGGCCACUGUUGAAGUCAGUACAAAGAGGAAUCCCUCAGACGAGGACUGGCUUAUCAAAUCAUGUGAAAGUGGGGAAAUUCGAAAACUCCACCUGUACCCGUCCAGGCAAGACACUCUACAGGGGUUAUUUGUGCUUCCACUUUGGCUAUCGGUCUUUUGAAACAAAGGUCCCCAAGGAAUUGGAAUUUCCCCAGGAAUCUCAUGCUGGCAAGAGGAAAAGGCUGAAGCCUGGUGUCAGCCAAGAGGAGGGGCUUAUCUGACACCUGGGAGCAGUGACUGGAGCUGAGACAAUGCUAAGUCAAGGCUAGGAGCUGGGGUGGGAGAACGAGAGGCUGCCACACCCUGACCAGGACUGCUUGCGCCUGGGCCUCUAUUGAAAUGUAACCCUAUCAGAAGCCUGAAGAUGGAGUGAGCUGAGGUGCAGGAUCCUUGGUCCUGUUUUUGUUCCUCUUCCCAGUGUGACCCCAUUAAAUAACUCUCCUCUGGUGGGGUCUGAAUAAGACUGUUCUCUAAAGGCUCAGAUACCUGAACACUUUGUUCCCCAGUGCCAGGGAAGUGGUAGAUCAUUGGGAGGUGGUAUCUUACUAGAGGAAAAUGCCUGGGCAAGCUUUGAGCUGUAAACAAAUUGUUAAUGAGAAUUACUGAAAGAAGCCCUAUCUUCAAAGACUGACUGGCUGGAUGACCAAACUUCAGUGAGGGAGAGAGGCUGGAAGUCACACGUUCAGACCUAAUCACCUUAUCUUGGGCUAGUCUGAGCCCCCUAAAUAGCCAUUUCCUUGCCCACUUCUGUGUCUAACAUCCUGUGACUAAUAGAUAAAAAACCUUUUGGAAUCUAUUACCUCAGCAAACCAUUUGCUUCCUAACUCAAAAGUUAACAAUGUCACCAUACAGCAUCUGACGCCUAUCAGGACAGAGUUCCUCAUCUCACUGUGAUCUGCUAUCUGAUGUAUUUUUCAACAUAUUUCAAAAUUAUCCUGAUUUAUGACUUUCUUUGUUCUGUAACUACAAAACUCUACGAAGGAAGUGCUUCCGUGUGUAUGGAGGGUGGAGGAGUAACUCACAUGCUGUCCUCUGACUUCCACAUAUCUCCGUGGCACACAGACAUUCACACCCAAGCUCAAAUAAGUAGUUAAAAAUUUAUAAGCAACAACAACAACAACAACAAAACCCCAACUGGCUAGGAUAUGUAGCAUUUUACUAGAAGUAAUUUUGGGGUAGCCUGUGAUAAAAUUUUGGGUUUUUUUGUGGUCUUGAACAAAGAACUGAAUAAGACAAGACACAUAAUAAUAAUAAGACUUAGGAAAUCCAGUUCUCUUUGUAGGAAGAGAAUCUUAUGCCAUCCCACAGGGAUGCUUGAAGACCAUUUUAUUAGAGUCUGAGAAGAAAACCAUAGGGUAGGUGAACUAUCAAUCCUACCAGCUGCAAGAAGGGAGAUAACAAGAAACAAGGUCAUGUUUUCUGAGCUACAGUCAAAGAAGGUCUGCAAUAAAGGGGAAGAAGGGAAGGCUCAGAGAAGCCAGCAGGAAGGCCUGAGUGUCCGUCAAGACGCACGUGCUGAGGAUUUCAGCGUUCCAGUGUUUCUGUCUGCAAGCUACUUCUG